GUAGGUGGCAAGCGUUGUCCGGAAUUAUUGGGCGUAAAGCGCGCGCAGGCGGUUCUUUAAGUCUGAUGUGAAAGCCCACGGCUCAACCGUGGAGGGUCAUUGGAAACUGGAGAACUUGAGUACAGAAGAGGAAAGCGGAAUUCCACGUGUAGCGGUGAAAUGCGUAGAGAUGUGGAGGAGCACCAGUGGCGAAGGCGGCUUUCUGGUCUGUAACUGACGCUGAGGCGCGAAAGCGUGGGGGAGCAAACAGGAUUAGAUACCCUGGUAGUCCACGCCGUAAACGAUGAGUGCUAAGUGUUAGGGGGUUUCCGCCCCCUUAGUGCUGCAGCUAACGCAUUAAGCACUCCCGCCUGGGAGUACGGCCGCAAGGCUG
rnacentral:rRNA from 1 species